rnacentral:rRNA from 1 species
CCGCGGUAAUACGUAGGUGGCAAGCGUUGUCCUGAUUUAUUGGGCGUAAAGAGCGCGUAGGCGGUUUGCUAAGUCUGGUGUGAAAGCCCUCAGCUUAACUGAGGAAGUGCAUUGGAUACUGGCAGGCUUGAGUGUGAGAGAGGAUCGUGGAAUUCCUGGUGUAGCGGUGAAAUGCGUAGAUAUCAGGAGGAACACCGGUGGCGAAGGCGGCGAUCUGGAUCAUAACUGACGCUGAGGCGCGAAAGCGUGGGUAGCAAACAGG